UGGGAGGAGGGGAAAUCAUGGAUCUUUUUACACAUAUUAAAGUAACUCAUUUUUACUUAUUUCAGUAUUUCAGGGACUCAUUGUUUUGCCAGCAUGCAUUUUCCUUUUCCACUUGGACAUGACUGCAUUAUAAUCUAGGAUCUGGUCUUCAAGAGCUGUUCUGGCCAAAAAAGUUAAGCACCCUGUGGUUAACGUGUGGAAGAUCUUUCAAAAGUUCAUGUUCUGAGGGCGUGGCCUUUGAGAACCUAAAGUCAUAUCAGAGCUUUGUCAAAAUAUUGGAAGAAGAUUUAGUGGAUUUAAUGUUAUGUAUCACUUAAAGCAUUUUCCUCCUAACCAUCUUUCGAGGUUUUGUAUUUCCUUUCUUUGCAACGUGAAGGAAAAAUUCAUGGAAAAAUAUCAUGGAUUCCUAAUAUUGCAUUUUGAAAAAUAAAGUCAUGUAGUAGAGAAAACUGUUUCAGUGACCCCCUUACUCCUCACAGUAUCAGAAUUACACAACUGCAAGUACCCUCAGAUGCUGUUAAGUUUGAUCCAUGCUUAGACAACAAUAAUUUCUACAACACUCCUUUUCAUAUAGCUUUUGCUUGGAGACCUGGAUGUAAUGAGGGGAAAACACUAUUUCCCAAAGAAGUCAUGCCUGAAUCUUCUAUAAUUUUCAUUCCUUGUCCUGCCUU
rnacentral:lncRNA from 1 species